GUCUACGGCUAUGCCAUUCUGAACAUGUCCAAUCUCAUCUGAUCUCUGAAGCUAAGCAGAGUUAGGCCUGGUUAGUACUUGGAUGGGAGACCACCUAGAAAUACCUGGUGCUGUAGGCG
ensembl:rRNA 5S_rRNA 5S ribosomal RNA